UGGUGGAAUGAUUUGUCUGCUUAAUUGCGAUAACGAACGAGACCUUAACCUACUAAAUAGCCCGGCUAGCUUUGCUGGUCGCAGGCUUCUUAGAGGGACUGUCGGCUCAAGCCGAUGGAAGUUUGAGGCAAUAACA
rnacentral:rRNA from 1 species